GACGAACGCUGGCGGCGUGCCUAAUACAUGCAAGUAGAACGCAGUUGUGAACGGGUGAGUAACGCGUAGGUAACUACCUAUUAGAGGGGGAUAAGUACUGGAAACGAUAGCUAAUACCGCAUACUAGUAGAUGGACCUGCGUUGUAUUGGCUAGUAGGUAGGGUAAAGGCCUACCAAGGCAACGAUACAUAGCCGGCGUGAGAGGGUGAUCGGCCACACUGGGACUGAGACACGGCCCAGAAUCCUACGGGAGGCAGCAGUAGGGAAUCUUCGGCAAUGGGGGGAACCCUGACCGAGCAACGCCGCGUGAGUGAAGAAGGGUUUCGGGUUGUAAAGCUCUGUUGGUAAGGAAGCGGUACUUAACCAGAAAGGGACGGCUAACUACGUGCCAGCAGCCGCGGUAAUUC
rnacentral:rRNA from 1 species